rnacentral:rRNA from 1 species
GGGGAAUAUUGGACAAUGGGCGAAAGCCUGAUCCAGCCAUGCCGCGUGUGUGAAGAAGGUCUUCGGAUUGUAAAGCACUUUAAGUUGGGAGGAAGGGUUUCUGGCUAAUAUCCAGGAAUUUUGACGUUACCGACAGAAUAAGCACCGGCUAACUUCGUGCCAGCAGCCGCGGUAAUACGAAGGGUGCAAGCGUUAAUCGGAAUUACUGGGCGUAAAGCGCGCGUAGGUGGUUCGUUAAGUUGGAUGUGAAAGCCCCGGGCUCAACCUGGGAACUGCAUCCAAAACUGGCGAGCUAGAGUAUGGCAGAGGGUGGUGGAAUUUCCUGUGUAGCGGUGAAAUGCGUAGAUAUAGGAAGGAACACCAGUGGCGAAGGCGACCACCUGGGCUAAUACUGACACUGAGGUGCGAAAGCGUGGGGAGCAAACA